rnacentral:rRNA from 1 species
UACGGAGGGUGCAAGCGUUAUCCGGAUUCACUGGGCUUAAAGGGUGCGUAGGCGGGUAGGUAAGUCCGUGGUGAAAUCCCCGAGCUUAACCCGGGAACUGCCAUGGAUACUAUCUAUCUUGAAUAUCGUGGAGGUGAGCGGAAUAUGUCAUGUAGCGGUGAAAUGCUUAGAUAUGACAUAGAACACCAAUUGCGAAGGCAGCUUGCUACACGAAUAUUGACUCUGAGGCACGAAAGCGUGGGGAUCAAACAGG